rnacentral:sRNA from 1 species
AUAGACGGAGGAAACCCGAAUGGAUCCGGUCAACGUCGCUGGCAUCAUGAUUCUCCUUGGUAUCGUUGCGAUAUUUGCCGUGACGUGGCUCAAGGCCCAGGAGUAAAUCAGGGACUGAUCGUUUCCUGUUCCAGACCUGGAUUCGUUAACGGAGGCCGUCCUCGGUUGGUCUCAGGAUCUCCCUG